UGAGCACUUUUCUGUUAAUCUUAGGUCUUGUGAUUACCUUUCAGUGCCUCACACACACCGAGGCAGAAACUGCUAAAUGGCCGUAUCAUAGACGUAGAAGUGGAAGAAAGAAUUUAAGAAACAAGCUGGAGGCCAAAGAUGAAGAAGCGGGCCGAGCCGAGUUAUAUAUAGGUCGAAGACUUUGUUAUGAUCCUGAAGCUUUCGAAUGUGAGACCGAGGACUAGUUCCUAUAUGCCCGAACCCAUAGUAUUAUCGCGAACUUCAAAUGUGGUCCAGUUGCUUUUCGGUAACGCACCUUUGAGUUAAUGUAAAUUAUGUUCACAGUUAGAUCUGCUGAAAACUGACACUGUGUAAGCAAAUAAAAUACAUGUGCACUUACACUUUA